rnacentral:lncRNA from 1 species
AAAAGCCGAGCAAUUGAGCCGUGCAUUACGGUAAGAGAUCGAUCCACAAGGAAAAGUAUAUCGUAAAAGGUUACGGUUUUACAGUAUGAUUCUUAUUAAUUCUUCUCAUCAUAUAUGUUAUUAUCAGUAGAGAUUGAUAACAUUUUUUUUGUGUUAGACCCAUGGGCGAAGGCAUAUUUUACUUAGGUGUUGCAAAUGUACCCCUGAAAAACUAUGGUUAAUUGU